rnacentral:rRNA from 1 species
GAGUUUGAUUAUGGCUCAGGAUGAACGCUGGCGGCGUGCUUAACACAUGCAAGUCGAACGAAGCGGGAAGAAAGAAGUUUUUCGAAGCGGAUUUUUUCUUUGCUUAGUGGCGGACGGGUGCGUAACACGUAGGUAACCUGCCCUGUUCAUUGGAAUAACUCCGGGAAACCGGUGCUAAUGCCAAAUAAUAUCGCUUCUUGGCAUCUGGAGGCGAUCAAAGAAUUUCGGAACAGGAUGGGCCUGCGCCGGAUUAGCUGGUUGGUGAGGUAAGGGCUCACCAAGGCGACGAUCCGUAGCCGACCUGAGAGGGUGAUCGGCCACACUGGAACUGAGACACGGUCCAGACUCCUACGGGAGGCAGCAGUGGGGAAUAUUGCACAAUGGGCGAAAGCCUGAUGCAGCAACGCCGCGUGAGCGAUGAAGGCUUUCGAGUCGUAAAGCUCUGUCCUAUGGGAAGAUGAUGACCGUACCUAGAGAGCC